ACGCUGGCGGCAGGCCUAACACAUGCAAGUCGAGCGGUAGCACAGGGGGGCUUGCUCUCUGGGUGACGAGCGGCGGACGGGUGAGUAAUGUCUGGGGAUCUGCCUGAUGGAGGGGGAUAACUACUGGAAACGGUAGCUAAUACCGCAUGACCUCGCAAGAGCAAAGUGGGGGACCUUAGGGCCUCACGCCAUCGGAUGAACCCAGAUGGGAUUAGCUAGUAGGUGGCGUAAUGGCUCACCUAGGCGACGAUCCCUAGCUGGUCUGAGAGGAUGACCAGCCACACUGGAACUGAGACACGGUCCAGACUCCUACGGGAGGCAGCAGUGGGGAAUAUUGCACAAUGGGCGCAAGCCUGAUGCAGCCAUGCCGCGUGUAUGAAGAAGGCCUUCGGGUUGUAAAGUACUUUCAGCGAGGAGGAAGGAUUUCGUGUUAACAGCACGGGAUAUUGACGUUACUCGCAGAAGAAGCACCGGCUAACUCCGUGCCAGCAGCCGCGGUAAUACGGAGGGUGCAAGCGUUAAUCGGAAUUACUGGGCGUAAAGCGCACGCAGGCGGUUGAUUAAGUUGGAUGUGAAAUCCCCGGGCUUAACCUGGGAACUGCAUUCAAAACUGAUUGGCUAGAGUCUUGUAGAGGGGGGUAGAAUUCCAGGUGUAGCGGUGAAAUGCGUAGAGAUCUGGAGGAAUACCGGUGGCGAAGGCGGCCCCCUGGACAAAGACUGACGCUCAGGUGCGAAAGCGUGGGGAGCAAAC
rnacentral:rRNA from 1 species